rnacentral:rRNA from 1 species
UACAGAGGGGGCAAGCGUUGUUCGGAAUUACUGGGCGUAAAGGGCACGUAGGCGGCCUGUUAAGUCGAACGUGAAAUCCCCGGGCUCAACCCGGGAACUGCGUCCGAUACUGGCAGGCUUGAAUUCGGGAGAGGGAUGUGGAAUUCCAGGUGUAGCGGUGAAAUGCGUAGAUAUCAGGAGGAACACCGAUUGCGAAGGCAGCUCGCUGGGACGUUACUGACGCUGAGACGCGAAAGCGUGGGGAGCAAACAGG